AGAUGGAAAUGCACAAGAGCUUGGAUAUGCAAAUAACGUUUCCCAGCCUUUUGUGGCACAUUUCAAAUUUGGCUCUGUGCAAUUUGAUACAGUGUCACACUUGGUGCGUGCCAGUUUUGUGCCUGAAGUAUAAGAGCCGGGGAACCGUACCAGCUCAGACCUCCAAGGAAGAAGCUUUUGCAGGAAUCCAUGACCACACAGAAAGAAAAUGGACACAGCAACCUUGUCUCCCAAAGGUAUGUGAGAUUUCUCACCUUCUGAAAAUCCUGCUUGAACUUCUGCUUCAUUCCACUGGUUUCCCAAGUUGGUGCUGUACUUUCCUGAUUUGCUGCAGAAGGAUUGCCAUCUCAGCUCAUCUGCACUGUUUAAACGUGAUCCUGCACUGAAGUGAUUGCAGGUAGCAACUGAUGCCUAUUAGAAGUGAAUCCACAGCUUGGACUGGAGAGAUUUGGAGGUAAUAUGUACAUGGUGUGCAGAAGUUCAUCAUGUCAUACUGGCCAAGGAGCUGUUCCAUUAGCAGUACUCCAACCAUUACAGCAGCAAAGGAAGAAGAAUGUGUACAUAAAGUAACAUUAUCACAAAGAAACAUCUCUGUUAGGUUUUUUUUUUUUUUUCCCUAGCCCAAUAAUAUGUAUAGCUUUUCUGCUGACUAAAUGUGGAAAAUCAAAAUUGUUAUUUGGUUACACUGUGCAGUGCAGUACGGUACCAAAACUUUUGAUGUGAUGCUAAUCAGAAGCAGAAGGCAGCACGGUGAUGCAACUGGACUGAUCAGCCUUACCA
rnacentral:lncRNA from 1 species